GUCUUGGUUGUCAAGGCAGCGGGCCGGGCGACCGGAAGCACGGUGCGGGGUUGUGCACCGUCCCGUCACCCUUGGAGACGCUGGUGUUGACCUCGGCGGCGGCGGAGGAGGAGGAGUGGGGCUUUAUCUCUGCUCUCCUUCGCUGCCGUGGGGUAAGAUGAACUCCAGAACUAAUUACCGUCUUUAAAGCGAACAUCCAGCACCGGACCAGAGCGAUAGACUGAAACUAUUUCUAAGAUGUCUCUGCAAAAGUUGAUUUUAUCACAGAAGAGGAGCUCUCCAUCAAAUCAGAAGCCAACAGCUCCUGCAUUCAGCAGAGGCAUGGAGAAGGCCAUGGCAGAUGUCAGAAGAGUACCCAGGUUUGCGGAAGACAAAAGAGGCUUCACAAAAAGAUACAGCUGCUUCCAAAAUUCUGAUGGAAAUAUCGUGAAGUCUAAUUGGACAGCUGAAUUAACUGAGCACCUAAGCAAGACCAGAUCCCACUUUUGAAUUGAAAAAUCCCAAGGUUGACAAUAUUAUUCAGAUUCAGAAAAUAGCCCUGAAGAAAGGAAAACUCACACCCUGCAUUGUGGACAAGGGGGUGGUGAACAGACGAGCUGACUGACACAGGAGGCUACAUUACCAGUCCAAGCAAACCUGGGUAUAUAUGGCAUCCCAGGACAAGGCUGUAUCUCAGGUGAAAUGGAAUGUUCAGCAGUGCAGGAAGAAGGUCAAUGAGCUUCUAUGCUCUGCAGGGGAAACAAAAUAUGUCAUUCAUAAACCUGCCUGGGAUGGUGCAUUUGAAGUAAAAAAAAGUUGUCAGCUUUUGUUGAUGAUUCAAAAGGAUCCUUUGACACCAACGUCCCUGACAAAGAUCCUGCAAUGUACUGGAGUGGUGGUUUUUGGACCCAUCAACUAAAGUAGUAACAGCGGAAGCACUGCUUGAAGAUGAAAAAGAUGACAGAAGUAGCUAUAGCAGCUAGUGUGAUCACACAAGCGGAUGGGGUAUGUGAUAGACAAUAUCUUAUGUAAAAUUCACUGUCAUCUAGCGAUUUGUAUGCAAGGCAGUAGUCAAUGUACUGCGCACAUGUUAUUUCUCAUAUUUUGGCUUUAUGCGCCUUUUUAAAUUUAACAGUGGCACAUAUGUAAAACAUAUGCCUUUCCAUAUUAUCGUUUUUUGAAUU